ensembl:lncRNA
GAAAACCUGAAAAUGCUUCCUUUGCCUCCAUUUGGAGAUGGUUUUCCUUAAGAGUCUCAUUAGAUGAUCUAAGCCUUUGAAAUUCAUUUGCUAUGGCAGAUGGCUAGCUAUCCACUCAAACCGCACGAUCCCCUUUCCAUAGCAAGGAGUUCCACUGGGAGGCAACUUCCCAGCCAGGGACCACAUGACCCAGCUCCCGUUGCAUCAUUGUGUGGCCAUCUGAUUUGUCCUUACCAAUGGAACAUGAGCAGAAGUGAUGUGUGUCACUUCUGGGUCAGGGUUUCUUAAGAAGUGGAUGCCUUUUCCAUUUUUCUUUCCUUCUCUGCCAUCCGAGUGCAGAUAACUUUAAAGCCCUAGGGGGAACUGGAAUCAUAAGAUUGAAAGAGCCUGAGGACCUGAACCACCGCCUGGAAGAAAGUUGCCUGCUGACCAGAAACACCUUCCCUGGGCUUUGACCAGGGUGCUGAAGAUUUUCACCUGGCUUACGGCACUUGGACCUCCUGACACAGAGAUGCUAAGAGCAAUGACCCCUCCUCAUGUCCAGCAGGGAACAUCUGGGAUUGUGUUUCAGGAGGGAAGAACCUGCAUCUUUCUUGUCCAUCAUGCUGUCAUCCAUGACCACGCCUGGCACAUAGCAGGUGCUUAGUAAACAUUUGUGAAUAAAUAACCAGGAGUCCAAGGACGCAGACUAGAUGAGAAUUGAGCUGAAUACCCUAGGACCCAAGUUCCUGAUUGUCCACAGGCUGCAGUGACCUGAGAGGCAAGGGUUACAAAUCGACACAGCUGCACAUUGCAGAGGAAAUGCCAGCAGAUGUUCUGACCGCUCCUACAUGUUGCUGGGUGAGUGAUCCAAGGGGAAGCAAAAGGGACUGCUCAAGGAGGAAUUCCAAGAUGGCGCCGUGAGUAGUCCUCUUUGUCUCUCGCCCUUCGAGUCUACAAUUAUUUGGACACUUAUCGCUUGACAAAGGAUAUCCAGACAGCAUCUCAGGACGUCUGAGACACCCACGCGACUAUACAUCGGAAGGCGGACGGACUUUCCUCCGGGAGGAUGUGGAAAUAGGUGAAAACUCUCUGACCCCGACGGGCAGCCUAGUACCCGCAAGCGGCUUUCUUCCAACGGACGCCCCCAGAGGAUCCACACACAUCUAGGGCAGGAGCGAGAACACAACAGAGGAGCGACGGUGGAAACAGGUGACCAGAACCCUACUUAAACCCCCCGCAAUUACUCCUAAACGCAGAGGGAAACUUUGGAGUUGCACACCUGAGCCCGCGGGGAGAGUCUCUCCCCGCCAUUGGCGGGGAGACCCGGCCUGGUGCUCGGGGCGCCCGGAGGGUCCCAGAGAGAGACACGGAGGGCACGGAGGUCUCCCAGCUGCCGUUGCCCGCCCCGUGGGACUAGGGAUUGCCGGAGAUCUCGGAGAGGACCGGGGCGGGGGAACUUUCAAAGGCCGGAUCGGCGACCCGGAGGGGAAGCGCCGGAGCUCCGCCAGGCAGCAGACAAAACUCUCUGUCUGCCGGUAGCAGAGGGGCCACGCUGAGCACUCAGGGCUCCCGGCAGAGGCCCGGG